rnacentral:tRNA from 1 species
AGUAAGAUAAGCUAAUUUAAGCUAUCGGGCCCAUACCCCGAAAAUGAAGGUUAAACCCCCUCUCUUACUA